rnacentral:rRNA from 1 species
UAGUAACGGCGAGUGAAGCGGGAAUAGCUCAAAUUUGAAAUCUCACUUUGGUGCGAAUUGUAGUUUAGAGAAGCGUUUUCGGUUGCAAGGCCGCGGUACAAGUUCAUUGGAACAUGGCAUCAUAGAGGGUGAAAAUCCCGUCUCUGACCGCGGCUCUUGCUCCAUAUGAUACGUUUUCCAAGAGUCGGUUUGUUUGGGAAUGCAGACCAAAAUGGGAGGUAAAUACCUUCUAAAGCUAAAUAUUGGCGAGAGACCGAUAGCGAACAAGUACCGUGAGGGAAAGAUGAAAAGAACUUUGAAAAGAGAGUUAAACAGUACGUGAAAUUGUCAAAAGGGAAACGCUUGAAACCAGUAUUGUUUUGCGGUAUUUAUACCGUUCAAUAAGUUAACAUCAGUUUGGUUUGGAGUAAAAUGCCAUUGGAAGGUAGCCUUUCGGGGUGUUAUAGCCUUUGGUGAUGCUCUGGGCUGGACUGAGGACUGCAGUGUUAUUUGGGGAACCUUUCGCCUUCCGAAGUAGCGUUAGCGACUGCUUGCAGAUGCUAGCGAUUACCAGGGAGCCCGGGAGGUGUACCACACCACCACUUUGGAUGUUGACGAAAUGGUUUUAAACGACCCGUCUUGAAACACGGACCAAGGAGUCUAACAUAUGUGCGAGUAUUUGGGUGGCAAACCCUUUUGCGUAAUGAAAGUGAAAAGGUGGGAUUCUUUAUUGAUGCACCAUCGACCGCGCCAGAUUAUUACUAUCUUGGCGUGAGUAUGAGCAUACAUGCUGGGACCCGAAAGAUGGUGAACUAUGCCUGAAUAGGGUGAAGCCAGAGGAAACUCUGGUGGAGGCUCGUAGCGGUUCUGACGUGCAAAUCGAUCGUCAAAUUUGGGUAUAGGGGCGAAAGACUAAUC